UUUAAGAUUGUUAUACAAUCUGUGCAAAACCAACAAUACAGUACGUGCGUUUGUGUGUGUGCGCGAGAAACAGUGUACGUAAGGAGGCAGUAUAGAACGAAGGAUAUAAGAACAGAGAUCCGAGUCCAGUGCGUAACUGUCUCCUUAAAGCGUAUUUCGCCCUCACCGUGUGUGAUGAACGAUCGCCUCCCAGGAUAAAACGGAUUGACGAUGCGAGAAGCACCUUCGACGAACUUGAACAAGGACUGAAACUAUCACCGACGCGGCUAGGGUUUUGGGUGCGAGAGAGGCUGUGUAUUUUUCGUGUGUAUAAACCCUAAUCUAUAAUGAGUAUAUAUAGACAAUGCAAGACUUGUGUGCUACGCUUCGUAAUUAAUUAAAACGCGUUUAAUUAAUUUACGCGGUUAUAAAUUAAAUCCGAAAUCAAAUCGGAAUUAAUUUAAACCAAGCAAUUAAUCCGAAAUCAAAUCGGAAUUAAUUUCUGCAAUUUAAUUG
rnacentral:lncRNA from 1 species